UGGCCUAAUACAUGCAAGUCGAGCGAAUGGCAUUAAGAGCUUGCUCUUAUGAAGUUAGCGGCGGACGGGUGAGUAACACGUGGGUAACCUGCCCAUAAGACUGGGAUAACUCCGGGAAACCGGGGCUAAUACCGGAUAACAUUUUGAACUGCAUGGUUCGAAAUUGAAAGGCGGCUUCGGCUGUCACUUAUGGAUGGACCCGCGUCGCAUUAGCUAGUUGGUGAGGUAACGGCUCACCGAGGCAACGAUGCGUAGCCGACCUGAGAGGGUGAUCGGCCACACUGGGACUGAGACACGGCCCAGACUCCUACGGGAGGCAGCAGUAGGGAAUCUUCCGCAAUGGACGAAAGUCUGACGGAGCAACGCCGCGUGAGUGAUGAAUGCUUUCGGGUCGUAAAACUCUGUUGUUAGGGAAGAACAAGUGCUAGUUGAAUAAGCUGGCACCUUGACGGUACCUAACCAGAAAGCCACGG
rnacentral:rRNA from 1 species